rnacentral:rRNA from 1 species
UACGAAGGGGGCUAGCGUUGCUCGGAAUCACUGGGCGUAAAGCGCACGUAGGCGGAUCUUUAAGUCAGGGGUGAAAUCCUGGAGCUCAACUCCAGAACUGCCUUUGAUACUGGGGAUCUCGAGUCCGGAAGAGGUGAGUGGAACUCCGAGUGUAGAGGUGAAAUUCGUAGAUAUUAGGAAGAACACCAGUGGCGAAGGCGGCUCACUGGCCCGGUACUGACGCUGAGGCGCGAAAGCGUGGGGAGCGAACAGG